CCCAGAAGUGAUUUUGGAUGGGAAAUGAGCAACAGACAAGUUUGCACGCACCUGUUGCAUACAAGAUGCAGGCUAUGAAUACAGAGAGCUCUUCGGCCCACUCACUGCCCUUAGGGGCUUGGGGUGGGGUGCAGAGAGGUUCUUGGGCACACUCUAUAGCCAUACUGGACAGGAACCAGGUGCCCCGUGUAGGCAUCGUUGGUCGGUUUACCGUCAGAGAUGGCGCAUCUCGCUGCAUCCCCCGAGAGUACACCGGUUGCUCUAGCCACCUGCGGCCCGCCCAUCUGCGCUAGCUGGCCUUCAUGCUCUUGAUCGUCUUUCCUUUGUAUUGGAGAAGGACUGGGUCAGAGAUCUGUUGGAGAGAGAGAAUAAAGAGAUUAUUUUUCAUUAUUUUUAAA
rnacentral:sRNA from 1 species